rnacentral:rRNA from 1 species
CGAACGCUGAAGCUUGGUGCUUGCACUGGGUGGAUGAGUUGGCGAACGGGUGAGUAAUACGUGAGUAACCUGCCCUUCGACUCUGGGAUAAGCCUGGGAAACUGGGUCUAAUACUGGAUACGACAUGUCACCGCAUGGUGGUGUGUGGAAAGGGUUUUACUGGUUUUGGAUGGGCUCACGGCCUAUCAGCUUGUUGGUGGGGUAAUGGCUCACCAAGGCGACGACGGGUAGCCGGCCUGAGAGGGUGACCGGCCACACUGGGACUGAGACACGGCCCAGACUCCUACGGGAGGCAGCAGUGGGGAAUAUUGCACAAUGGGCGGAAGCCUGAUGCAGCGACGCCGCGUGAGGGAUGACGGCCUUCGGGUUGUAAACCUCUUUCAGCACGGAAGAAGCGAAAGUGACGGUACGUGCAGAAGAAGCGCCGGCUAACUACGUGCCAGCAGCCGCGGUAAUACGUAGGGCGCAAGCGUUGUCCGGAAUUAUUGGGCGUAAAGAGCUCGUAGGCGGUUUGUCGCGUCUGCUGUGAAAGCCCGGGGCUUAACCCCGGGUGUGCAGUGGGUACGGGCAGACUUGAGUGCAGUAGGGGAGACUGGAAUUCCUGGUGUAGCGGUGAAAUGCGCAGAUAUCAGGAGGAACACCGAUGGCGAAGGCAGGUCUCUGGGCUGUUACUGACGCUGAGGAGCGAAAGCAUGGGGAGCGAACAGGAUUAGAUACCCUGGUAGUCCAUGCCGUAAACGUUGGGCACUAGGUGUGGGGAACAUUCCACGUUUUCCGCGCCGUAGCUAACGCAUUAAGUGCCCCGCCUGGGGAGUAC